rnacentral:rRNA from 1 species
UCUAUACUGUGAAACUGCGAAUGGCUCAUUAAAUCAGUUAUCGUUUAUUUGAUAGUACCUUACUACAUGGAUAACCGUGGUAAUUCUAGAGCUAAUACAUGCUAAAAACCCCGACUUCGGAAGGGGUGUAUUUAUUAGAUAAAAAACCAAUGCCCUUCGGGGCUCCUUGGUGAUUCAUAAUAACUUAACGAAUCGCAUGGCCUUGUGCCGGCGAUGGUUCAUUCAAAUUUCUGCCCUAUCAACUUUCGAUGGUAGGAUAGUGGCCUACCAUGGUUUCAACGGGUAACGGGGAAUUAGGGUUCUAUUCCGGAGAGGGAGCCUGAGAAACGGCUACCACAUCCAAGGAAGGCAGCAGGCGCGCAAAUUACCCAAUCCCGACACGGGGAGGUAGUGACAAUAAAUACUGAUACAGGGCUCUUUUGGGUCUUGUAAUUGGAAUGAGUACAAUUUAAAUCCCUUAACGAGGAACAAUUGGAGGGCAAGUCUGGUGCCAGCAGCCGCGGUAAUUCCAGCUCCAAUAGCGUAUAUUAAAGUUGUUGCAGUUAAAAAGCUCGUAGUUGAACCUUGGGCCUGGCUGGCCGGUCCGCCUCACCGCGUGCACUGGUCCGGCCGGGCCUUUCCUUCUGGGGAGCCGCAUGCCCUUCACUGGGUGUGUCGGGGAACCAGGACUUUUACUUUGAAAAAAUUAGAGUGUUCAAAGCAGGCCUAUGCUCGAAUACAUUAGCAUGGAAUAAUAGAAUAGGACGUGUGGUUCUAUUUUGUUGGUUUCUAGGACCGCCGUAAUGAUUAAUAGGGAUAGUCGGGGGCAUCAGUAUUCAAUUGUCAGAGGUGAAAUUCUUGGAUUUAUUGAAGACUAACUACUGCGAAAGCAUUUGCCAAGGAUGUUUUCAUUAAUCAGUGAACGAAAGUUAGGGGAUCGAAGACGAUCAGAUACCGUCGUAGUCUUAACCAUAAACUAUGCCGACUAGGGAUCGGGCGAUGUUAUCUUUUUGACUCGCUCGGCACCUUACGAGAAAUCAAAGUU